rnacentral:rRNA from 1 species
UACGUAGGGCGCAAGCGUUGUCCGGAAUUAUUGGGCGUAAAGAGCUCGUAGGCGGUUUGUCGCGUCUGCUGUGAAAACCUAAGGCUCAACCUUGGGCUUGCAGUGGGUACGGGCAGACUAGAGUGUGGUAGGGGAGACUGGAAUUCCUGGUGUAGCGGUGAAAUGCGCAGAUAUCAGGAGGAACACCGGCGGCGAAGGCGGGUCUCUGGGCCAUAACUGACGCUGAGGAGCGAAAGCGUGGGGAGCAAACAGG